rnacentral:rRNA from 1 species
UACGUAGGUGGCAAGCGUUGUCCGGAUUUAUUGGGUUUAAAGGGUGCGUAGGCGGUUUUGUAAGUCAGUGGUGAAAUACUCUAGCUUAACUAGAGGGGUGCCAAUGAUACUGCGGAACUUGAGUACAGAUGAGGUAGGCGGAAUUGACGGUGUAGCGGUGAAAUGCAUAGAUAUCGUCAAGAACACCGAUAGCGAAGGCAGCUUACUGGGCUGUAACUGACGCUGAUGACACGAAAGUGUGGGGAUCAAACAGG